rnacentral:misc_RNA from 1 species
AACGCACAUUGCGCCCUUUGGUAUUCCGAAGGGCAUGCCUGUUCGAGCGUCAUUUCAAACCUCAAGCUCACGCUUGGUAUUGGGCGUCGUCCGCUAGGACGUGCCAGAAACCCGUAGGCAGUGGUGCCCGCCUCCCAGCGUAGUCAAUCUACCCGCUUCGGAGCGCGCGGUGCCGCCCGCCGGACGAAUAACCACUUUUUUCUAUGGUUUGACCUCGGAUCAGGUAGGGAUACCCGCUGAACUUAA